UAGGGGGCAAGCGUUGUCCGGAAUUAUUGGGCGUAAAGAGCUCGUAGGCGGUUAGUCGCGUCGAAUGUGAAAACCCGGGGCUCAACCCCGGGCCUGCAUUCGAUACGGGCAGACUAGAGUUCGGUAGGGGAGUCUGGAAUUCCUGGUGUAGCGGUGAAAUGCGCAGAUAUCAGGAGGAACACCGGUGGCGAAGGCGGGACUCUGGGCCGAUACUGACGCUGAGGAGCGAAAGCGUGGGGAGCAAACAGG
rnacentral:rRNA from 1 species